CACGUAGGGGGCAAGCGUUGUCCGGAUUUAUUGGGCGUAAAGAGCUCGUAGGUGGUUCGGUAAGUCAGGUGUGAAACCUCCAGGCUCAACCUGGAGACGCCACUUGAUACUGCUGUGACUGGAGUCCGGUAGGGGAGCGUGGAAUUCCUGGUGUAGCGGUGAAAUGCGCAGAUAUCAGGAGGAACACCAGCGGCGAAGGCGGAUCUCUGGGCCAUUACUGACGCUGAGGAGCGAAAGCGUGGGGAGCGAACAGG
rnacentral:rRNA from 1 species